rnacentral:rRNA from 1 species
GACGAACGCUGGCGGCGUGCUUAACACAUGCAAGUCGAACGAAGUGGCGGACGGGUGAGUAACGCGUAAUCAACCUGCCCUUCAGGGGGGGACAACAGUUGGAAACGACUGCUAAUACCGCAUACGGAAGGAGGGGAUUGCGUGUGAUUAGCUCGUUGGAGGGGUAACGGCCCACCAAGGCGAUGAUCAGUAGCCGGUCUGGGAGGAGUAACGGCCACCGUUGGAUUGGGACACGGCCCAGACCCCUACGGGAGGCAGCAGGGGGGAAUCUUCCGCAAUGGACGAAAGUCUGACGGAGCAACGCCGCGUGAGUGAGGACGGCCUUCGGGGUGUAAAGCUCUGUUAAUCGGGACGCGGUACCGGAAUAGAAAGCAACGGCUAACUACGUGCCAGCCGCCGCGGUAAUAC